CACACCGCCCGUCACACCAUGGGAGUUGGCUCUACCCGAAGACGCUGCGCUAACCGCAAGGAGGCAGGCGGCCACGGUAGGGUCAGCGACUGGGGUG
rnacentral:rRNA from 1 species